ACUGCUGCUGCUCAGGGUGUGUUUCAUGCGCGGGGACAAAGGCUUCUGUUGUUUUGGGAGGGGAUCGUCUCCAUUUUGUCGACAUUGUUUUCAAGCCAGGUGACACGAGUCUAAGCCCAAUCACCGGAACAAACGUUAGCGAAGUGCGGUCCUGCAGAACCACGGAUAAGACUGAACCUUUGUUGUGUUACGCUGCAAGUUUACAUUUGUUGAGCUUUGGUUCCACUUUUCGCACUGUACGCCAGCCACACAGUACGAAGACUGAUGAUGUCCACUCUCUGUGGAGGUCUGCACUCAGAGCCCCUGUGGAGUGGAUGAAUUGGGAGUUUGGGCAGCCCUCACGUCUUGCAAACAUUUGGAUGCAGCCUGCUCAACCUCAGGACCCCUGGCUGUCCAAAAGAGUGCCUGACCAAAAUUAGAACCAUAAAACCCACUAUUCACCGAAAAUAAUACAGCAUUUACAACAGGUGGGUUUAAAGGACAAAACUUCUAACAUAGGUUUAGCUUUAAAAAGUUUCCUUUUAGUCUCCUAGGUGGAAGUCUUCCUCCCAGUCCUCCUCCCCAUGUGGACUUUCUCGCUCUCCUACUUCACCUUUCUUCCUCCUUUGCCCCCAUCAUAUGAGCACGAGAGGGUGCUGCUCAACAUUAAAGAUGGCCCGGCCCCGCUCUCCCUCUGUCCUCUGGCUGGACCGGCUCUCCGCUGCACGCCACGCCGCUGCCAGAUCGCCACAAAAAAAGAAAAAAAACCAAAACCCUCCUCUCCCCCCAACGACUCCCGACCGCUCCUGGCACCCGAGGCAAAGCUCGCCCUCAUCGUCUCAUCUGACUGCUUCUGUAAAUAAAUAACAACAACAAAAUAGCAACAAGAGGGUGACACCCGGCGGAACCCAGUCGGCCACAUGGGACCUGCUGGUUGUCGGCGUUUGGCGAGGAGCGGCGGGGUCACAGAUGGCUGCACAACCCCCGCGCCGGCCCACAUUUUUCCGGGCUGCUGUGCUUUUUAGGUCGUCCUCGCUCGCUAAACCGCCCCGUUUCCAACUAAUUUUUUUAAUGUCGACACGGGCUCAGAUGGGUCAAACACAAUGGCAAAUAAUUAACCAAAGGGGGCUGAAUUAAAGGGGGACUUAAUAUGAGACGGGCGGCGGAUGACUCACUUUGCAUUAGGCUUUGAAGCCGGUCCCCGGCGGCCGGCGUCGGGGGCGCUCCAGCUUUAAAAGCGAGUGCAUCUUGGCACCUUGCUCAGGAGAAAAGCAGGCGGUUGAUCCGUGCUGCAUUAGUGCUGAGCCUUUGUUCUCCCGAAGGGCUGUCAAAUGGAGAGACGGCUCCCUGAGACAUUUUAUAGAUACAUUCCCCUCAAAGGCAGCUGAGCACCGGCAGGAUGAAGCGGGCUCAGAGUAUUAAAGCUGCAAGUAUUCCAUUCAUCCAUUUGUCAACAUGGACGGAUGGGACUGACAGACAGCCCGGAGGUUGUGUGAGAGGAUCUGUAGUUCAAUUUCAUUCUUGUUCAUCGUCCCUUUGUUUGUUAUUUCUUUAUUUCCCUGCACUCUCUGAUUAAAU